AGAGUUUGAUCAUGGCUCAGGACGAACGCUGGCGGCGUGCUUAACACAUGCAAAGUCGAGCGAGAAAAGGGUCCUUCGGGACCCCGGUAAAGCGGCGAACGGGUGAGUAACACGUGGGCAACCUGCCCCAAGGACUGGGAUAACUCCGGGAAACCGGAGCUAAUACCGGACGUGCUUUUGCCACUUAAGUGGUUCAAGUAAAGGUAGCUUCGGCUUCUGCCUUGGGAUGGGCCCGCGGCCUAUCAGCUUGUUGGUGAGGUAAUGGCUCACCAAGGCGACGACGGGUAGCUGGUCUGAGAGGAYGAUCAGCCACACUGGGACUGAGAYACGGCCCAGACUCCUACGGGAGGCAGCAGUGGGGAAUCUUGCGCAAUGGGCGAAAGCCUGACGCAGCAACGCCGCGUGGAGCGAAGAAGGCCUUCGGGUUGUAAAGCUCUGUCAGGGGGAAAGAAGGCACCUGGGGGUUUAAUAGGCCCAAGGGGCUGACGGUACCCCCAAAGGAAGCCACGGCUAACUACGUGCCAGCAGCCGCGGUAAUA
rnacentral:rRNA from 1 species